rnacentral:snRNA from 1 species
GUGAUUGCUUCAGCAGCACAUAUACUAAAAUUGCAACAAUACCGAGACUAGUGUGGCCCCCACACAAGGAUAAUACGCAAAUGCCCAAAAAACAUAGUUCUAAAUGCUU